UAGCGUCUGUUUGGUUUGGAGUUUCACAACUCCAAACGUGAGUCUCCCAUCUCCAAACGUGAUUCUGACGAUUUCCGGCUUGUUUGGCUAAAAGCAAAAUUGAUUCUCUUCCACGCAAUUUACUACCCAGACGUGAGUAACUUGGAAGCCACAAUUUGGAGCUUCCACGUCAAAGCAACAUAUAUACUUACCUAACUACCCCUAACUUAUUCUUCUUCAAUUUCCUCCUCCACUGAAUAUCUUCAAUUUCUUUCUUCAGUUUUCCGAAAAUAAAAAUGAAAGUGGAAGAUGAGGAGAAAGAGUGAGGAAAACAGUCAAUUUCAUAGAAGCUUCAACAAAAUGAGUGUCUGCCAUGGUUGUUGUUUCAAGAGGAAGAAGUCAAAACAAGAGAACGAGGAGUGAAGAUUUGCGGUGAAAAAUUGUUGCUUGACGGCGAGUGUCCUGGAUCUGGUUUUGCGAUGAGAGAUUUGGUUUUUGUUUUUUUUGAGUAAAAAGAUAUUUGGGUAGUUUUUUUUACAAUAAUUAUUUUAUAUAGAUUUUAUUUUUUGGGUAGUUGGUGAGUAUUAUUUUAUUUUUUUAGUACAAGGUGACAUAUUAAAAAAAAAUAUUAUGAUUUCGUCAAAAAAAAAAAUUAUGAUUAUAUAUAGAUUUUUUAUCUUUACAAAAUGAAUUAUAUAUAAAUUUUUUGACACAAUAUAGAUUUAAAUGAUUAUUAAAAUGAGAAUGGGGAUAUCUCCUUUUAAAUACAUCAAGGAUAAUUUGGUCAUUAUACUUUUAAAAUCAAUUUUGAUUCAAACUAUCCAAACAAUAUUUUACUCUUAAGAAUCACUUUCAUUUGAGUCUAUCCAAACAUAAAUCAAAUCUGUUUAACUCACUUUUUAUUAAAAUUAAUUUUGUCAAACUCAAUUCUCUCAAACUCAAUUUUAAUCGCCGCCAAACCAAACACAGACUU
rnacentral:lncRNA from 1 species